rnacentral:rRNA from 1 species
AGAGUUUGAUCAUGGCUCAGAGUGAACGCUGGCGGUAGGCCUAACACAUGCAAGUCGAACGGCAGCACAGGAGAGCUUGCUCUCUGGGUGGCGAGUGGCGGACGGGUGAGGAAUACAUCGGAAUCUACUUUUUCGUGGGGGAUAACGUAGGGAAACUUACGCUAAUACCGCAUACGACCUACGGGUGAAAGCAGGGGAUCUUCGGACCUUGCGCGAUUGAAUGAGCCGAUGUCGGAUUAGCUAGUUGGCGGGGUAAAGGCCCACCAAGGCGACGAUCCGUAGCUGGUCUGAGAGGAUGAUCAGCCACACUGGAACUGAGACACGGUCCAGACUCCUACGGGAGGCAGCAGUGGGGAAUAUUGGACAAUGGGCGCAAGCCUGAUCCAGCCAUACCGCGUGGGUGAAGAAGGCCUUCGGGUUGUAAAGCCCUUUUGUUGGGAAAGAAAUCCAGCUGGCUAAUACCCGGUUGGGAUGACGGUACCCAAAGAAUAAGCACCGGCUAACUUCGUGCCAGCCGCCGCGGUAAUAC